rnacentral:rRNA from 1 species
AACGAACGCUGGCGGCGUGCCUAACACAUGCAAGUCGUGCGAGAAAGUUCCUUCGGGAGCGAGUAAAGCGGCGCACGGGUGAGUAACACGUAGGUAACCUGCCCCCCAGUCUGGAACAACUAGAGGAAACUCUAGCUAAUGCCGGAUGAGACCACGAUCCCUUCGGGGGUUGCGGCCAAAGACGGCCUCUACUUGUAAGCUAUCGCUGAGGGAUGGGCCUGCGGGCCAUUAGCUUUGUUGGUGAGGUAACGGCUCACCAAGGCUGUGAUGGCUAGCUGGUCUGAGAGGAUGACCAGCCACACUGGGACUGAGACACGGCCCAGACUCCUACGGGAGGCAGCAGUGGGGAAUAUUGCGCAAUGGGCGAAGCCUGACGCAGCGACGCCGCGUGGGUGAUGAAGGCCUCGGUCGGUAACGACCGUCGUCGUCGACGGGGAAGGAAGUAAGACGAU